rnacentral:lncRNA from 1 species
GAAGCUGGGAUCAGACACUUACUUUUGGCGUAUUAUAUUCAUCUCUAGAGUGGAGACACUGAUGUACCAUCUCGUAACUAAUGACAACCUGAAUGCAAGCAUACCUACAGCGAAGGCAACUUAAUACAUUGUGUACUGAUAAUUAUCAGGAAUCAGCUGUAGCAUUUCUUAGUUAAGAGUGAAUAUGUCAUACCCAGAAAGUUACUGUGCGGAUGCAUUCCAAAGUCCAGCAGCAUCAAAAGCAUGAGCAUAUACAUGAAGCACACACAAAUGAGCUGGCCCAAGGUUAACAGAGAAAAUUACUGGAAAAAGGUACGGACAAAAGG